rnacentral:sRNA from 1 species
CCUUAGCCCUGAUGGUAGUGGAAAGCCCGUAAAGGAAAAACAGCCACUUUUUGUUGGCUUUUUGGGGCGACCAGAGGAAGCCACAAAAAACCUUACAAAAAUGCUGUUUUUACUGCGGACUUGUAACGGACAGCAGGAAAAUGC